rnacentral:rRNA from 1 species
UGCGUAGGUGGCAAGCGUUGUCCGGAUUUACUGGGUGUAAAGGGCGUGUAGCCGGGCUGACAAGUCAGAUGUGAAAUCCGGGGGCUCAACCCCCGAACUGCAUUUGAAACUGUUGGUCUUGAGUAUCGGAGAGGCAGGCGGAAUUCCUAGUGUAGCGGUGAAAUGCGUAGAUAUUAGGAGGAACACCAGUGGCGAAGGCGGCCUGCUGGACGACAACUGACGGUGAGGCGCGAAAGCGUGGGGAGCAAACAGG